rnacentral:lncRNA from 1 species
UUGGUUUGGUACCUAGACUAAAUGGUAAGUAAUCUUCUAUAAUAGGUUAAAUUAUUCAGUUAUAUAACUUAAAUCCAAUAUCAAUAUAAAAGAGCCACCAAACCUCAUUGCUGUAAUAAACUUUCCUCGUGCGAAACGAUUUAGCUGGAAUAUAAUUUGCUCCAGCUCUCAAAUUCCUUGCCCUAAUUAUCACUUGCCUGAAAUUAAAAUCCUCAAAAUCAAAAUUCCAAAUAAAUAAAUUUUUUACUAAAAAACUAAUAAAAAGAGUGUAGAAACGAACCCUUCUUUGAUGAUUUUAGGAUCAGGUACUUGAGUAGAAGAAUGC